AAUUAUUAUUAGAUUUUUUAAAUAAUUAUUCACGAAAUAAAUUGAGCUAAAUUUUUGGUAUUUUUGGAAAUUAUAACUAUAUGUUACAAAAUAUAUUAACUAAAUAGAUUUAGGGGUGAAAGGCCUAUCAAAUUUUAUGAUAUCUUGAAGUAUAUAAAAUAUAUCAAGUAUUUCUAAUUCAACUAUUGAAUGUUUAGGUUCAAUAGUAACAUUAUAUUUUUUAAAAAAUUGUUCAAUUUUUUUAAGUAAAAUUGAGUUAGAGCAUAAAAUAUACAUCAAAUUUUUAUUAUAUGAAUAUAAAUAUACUACGGUUAUUAAUAAAUAUAAUCAUAUAUAAUGUAAUUAUUAGUAAUAGUUUAUUAAACUAUAUAAAGGAAUUCGGCAAGAAAAUUUUUCACCUGUUUAUCAAAAACAUAGCUUAUUGAAUAUCAUAAUAAGUAACCCCUGCUCAAUGGAAAUCUAAAUAGCCGCAGUACCUUGACUGUGCAAAGGUAGCAUAAUCAAUUGGCUUAUAAUUGAAGUCUGGAAUGAAUGGGUAAUCUGGAAAAUAACUGUCUUUAUUUGUAGUAUUUUGAAUUUACUUAUAAAGUGAAAAUACUUUAAUAUAAAUAUAAGACGAGAAGACCCUAGAAAUUUUUUGUUAAUAACUUUUGUUGGGGCGACAGGGUAACACAUAAACUUACUUACAUUUAUAUAAAUCUUAUAAGGUACGUAACUAAAUUACUCUAGGGAUAACAGCAUAAUAUAUAAAAGUUUAUGACCUCGAUGUUGGACUAGGUAAUUAAAUAUUUAAAAGAUAUCUUAAUUUGCUCUGUUCGAGCAGUAUCACCUACAU
rnacentral:rRNA from 1 species